GGAGGGUGCAAGCGUUGUUCGGAAUCAUUGGGCGUAAAGAGUGUGUAGGCGGCGAGGUAUGUCUGAUGUGAAAGCCCAGGGCUCAACCCUGGAAGUGCAUUGGAAACUGCCUCACUUGAGUCUUGGAGAGGGUAACGGAAUUCCUGGUGUAGAGGUGAAAUUCGUAGAUAUCAGGAGGAACACCCGUGGCGAAGGCGGUUACCUGGACGAUGACUGACGCUGAGACACGAAAGCGUGGGGGAGCAAACAGGAUUAGAUACCCUGGUAGUCCACGCUGUAAACGAUGAGCACUAGAUGUCGCGGGAGUUGACCCCUGCGGUGUCGCAGCUAACGCAUUAAGUGCUCCGCCUGGGGAGUACGGCCGCAAGGCUG
rnacentral:rRNA from 1 species